AGUGGACUCGCGGUUCCAAACC
rnacentral:miRNA from 1 species